rnacentral:rRNA from 1 species
UGCAAGUCGAGGGGCAUCACGGAAAAGCUUGCUUUUCUGGUGGCGACCGGCGCACGGGUGCGGAACGCGUAUGGAACCUGCCCCUGUCAGGGGAAUAGCCCAGGGAAACUUGGAUUAAUGCCCCAUGGUACCGUUAUAUCGCAUGAUAUUUCGGUUAAAGAUUUAUCGGACAGGGAUGGCCAUGCGUACCAUUAGUUAGUUGGUGGGGUAACGGCCCACCAAGGCAGCGAUGGUUAGGGGCCCUGAGAGGGGGAUCCCCCACACUGGUACUGAGACACGGACCAGACUCCUACGGGAGGCAGCAGUGAGGAAUAUUGGACAAUGGGCGGGAGCCUGAUCCAGCCAUGCCGCGUGCAGGAUGACGGCCCUAUGGGUUGUAAACUGCUUUUAUACGGGAAGAAACGCACCUACGUGUAGGUGUCUGACGGUACCGUAAGAAUAAGGACCGGCUAACUCCGUGCCAGCAGCCGCGGUAAUACGGAGGGUCCGAGCGUUAUCCGGAAUCAUUGGGUUUAAAGGGUCCGUAGGCGGGCCUGUAAGUCAGGGGUGAAAGUUUGUGGCUCAACCAUAAAAUUGCCUUUGAUACUGCAGGUCUUGAGUCAUGGUGGGGUCGCCGGAACAUGUGGUGUAGCGGUGAAAUGCAUAGAUAUCACAUAGAACACCGAUCGCGAAGGCAGGUGACCAACCAUGUACUGACGCUGAUGGACGAAAGCGUGGGUAGCGAACGGGAUUAGAUACCCCGGUAGUCCACGCCGUAAACGAUGGAUACUAGCUGUGGGGACUUCGGUCUCCGUGGCCAAGCGAAAGUGAUAAGUAUCCCACCUGGGGAGUACGUUCGCAAGAAUGAAACUCAAAGGAAUUGACGGGGGCCCGCACAAGCGG